rnacentral:rRNA from 2 species
UGGGGAAUAUUGGACAAUGGGCGAAAGCCUGAUCCAGCAAUGCCGCGUGAGUGAUGAAGGCCUUAGGGUUGUAAAGCUCUUUUACCCGGGAUGAUAAUGACAGUACCGGGAGAAUAAGCUCCGGCUAACUCCGUGCCAGCAGCCGCGGUAAUACGGAGGGAGCUAGCGUUGUUCGGAAUUACUGGGCGUAAAGCGCACGUAGGCGGCUUUGUAAGUCAGAGGUGAAAGCCUGGAGCUCAACUCCAGAACUGCCUUUGAGACUGCAUCGCUCGAAUCCGGGAGAGGUGAGUGGAAUUCCGAGUGUAGAGGUGAAAUUCGUAGAUAUUCGGAAGAACACCAGUGGCGAAGGCGGCUCACUGGACCGGUAUUGACGCUGAGGUGCGAAAGCGUGGGGAGCAAACAGG